ensembl:lncRNA
GGAUGUCUCAUUGACUUCCCCUGACUCUAAUUCUGUGGAUGUCUCAUUGACGUCCCCUGACUCUAAUUCUGUGGAUGCCUCAUUGACGUCCCCUGACUCUAAUUCUGUGGAUGUCUCAUUGACGUCCCCUGACUCUAAUUCUGUGGAUGUCUCAUUGACGUCCCCUGACUCUAAUUCUGUGGAUGUCUCAUUGACGUCCCCUGACUCUAAUUCUGUGGAUGUCUCAUUGACGUCCCCUGACUCUAAUUCUGUGGAUGCCUCUCCAUCCUUCACCCUCUAACUACACAGCAACUAGUAGAGGAUGUAAUGGACAAAGACAAAAGAGAACACUUUGUAUUCAACCAAGUAUCUUAACUUCAGUUACCCAGGAGUGAUAGGGUGGAAAUCUGCUUUGCCCAGGUUACGUCCCCUCCCCCUCACUCCCAUGCUUUUCCAUGUCUGUACUCUGUACUAACCACUUAUUACUCUGUCUCAGAGGCGGAGCUAUGACUGAACCCUGUAACCUUUGACCUAUUACCCUGACAUCUGAGCUGCACCUUGAGUUAUGCCACUCUCACAGGGGAGCCAAAAUGGCUGCCUCGUGUUGCCUAUGGCAGAGGUCCCCUGUAUAUUCCUAUUAAUAGCACUUGAACUACAUAAUGGAACCUACUCUGAUAGUAUAAUUGAUAUUAUAUAUAUUUUCUCAAGUUUGAAUAAUCAGUGUUUUAUUUCUCUUAAUAUGUCACUCUCAUACGGUAUAUGUUUUAGUUUUUUUCCAAAUGAUAAUUAUUCAAAUUGAAUGUAAAUAGAUAUGUCUUUUUUAUAAACCACACAGAAUUUCAAAAGUAUUAUUAGUGCCAUUUUUGGACAGUUUUUUUCACGUUUAUGUGUUAUAUGUCUGUGUUGUUGAUCAGGUACGCAGAGUUGUUGUUAUUGUCAUAACGACUAGACUGAGCCAGAGCUAUUAUCAGAAAGCUAUUUCUUGUUUCCAGUUUUGUGUUUUUUCUUUCUCUGUGAAUGCCAGAAUGGCUGAAAAUAACCACUGUACUCAAAAAACCAAACCAAUAAAAUGAAUGUUGAAUCUUUUGACCUCCUA